GGGGCGCACCCUGCCGUGCGUGGACAAGGACGGGGCCGCGCACGUUCCUGGAGACCGAAAGCCCCGCGAAGAAGCUAGAUAUGUGCCCUGCCUUUUUACAAGCAGCUUCUGACUUCAGAUUGAGGGCGGAAGAUGACUGUGUCUUGAAUGGAAGUCAUAGAUAGCCAAGGAGAAGCUCUUCAAGUGCUAGUCUCUGGAAGCUCUUAUUUCCUUCCUUUUCUGACAGCCAUGAACAGUGGCAGUAAGUCACACAGCAGCAGCAGCAAGUGGAGCCCUCUAGCGUUCCUGCUCUGGCCUCAGUCUCUCAGCUUUCUUCAGUGGGCUCACAGCUCUGGCUGCUGUCCAACUGGUCAGCUGCUCCCUUAGCUGACAUCUUCUCCAACUCAGUAGCUGCUGUUGGUAUGACAGGGCAUACUCUCCUCUGCAUUCGGAAGGCUGGGUGCCAGUCAAGACUCCCACUGCUGGAACAAGGUACCAGAGGUCGUCAGGAUCACUCAGGCCUGGGCAGCCAUGACUGAACGACCACCAGCUAGGUUCAGGCUCCCAGUCAGCAGCAGAUAGUAUUGGAACCACAGGUGGUGCCAAGUGGGAUCAAGCUUAUAUGUUGGGGUCCUGGCCACACCUGUGAGGUCAUCACAUUUUGUCAGCAAUCAACACGGUCUUGCUACCACAGCUUUCUGUUGCUUCUUUCCUCUUUCCCAUACUGCUGAAAGUCCACAAGAAACGAGCACUGGAGAGAAGCCUUCAUUGGAGC